CAGCCGCCGAAAUGCUUCGUCUGGCCGGUGGGACGGUCGAGAAAACUUCAGGUACUGUGACAAAAAGUUUGGAGUUUGUUAAGUCGUCGUCAGCGAGUCGGCCAACCUGUUACCGCUACAGUUAUGAUUUUGAGCGCAAAAGUUGUGCCACAACUUUACCCAUGUGCACAUUUCUUUCUCAUUUCACUUUCUUCAAGCAUGCUACAUACACAAACACACACAUGCUCGCUUGAGUACAUGUGGCGUUGGCAGUGGCAAACGAAUUUAUUUUAAUUCGAUAAAGUUAACAACUCGGUUACUGGAAAGAAAAGAAGGGACAGAUGCAGAGGCAGAAAUAAAAGUGAAAUUGACGACAACAAGGGCAACAUGGAAGGAAGGGCUGUGUGCGUUCGGCGCGAGAUCAUUCAAAGUCAGGUCGCGGCUUCACUUUCGUUUUCAUCUCAACCUAUUACAAAAUAACCAAUACGAAUACACAUGUCCAGUCGUGCAUUUGGGUGUGUGUGUAUUUGUGUGUGCUUGUAUUUAGUAUUUACUGUUUGAUUUGCAUAGUGGAACGUUGGAUCGCUGGAAGAAACUUGUUUCCCAUUCUGCUUUUGUUGUCUUUAGUGUUUUUUUGGCUUUAACACGCGCGACAAAAAUGUUUCUGCAUUUAAAAAUGUGACUAGUAGAUUUCCAUAAGUUGUAUUUCUUGAUUUCUGCUCAAUAUAUAUCUCUGCCCAACACAAAACAAAUACAUCUGGAAAAAGAAGGAGUGAAAAAGUCACCUGCCUUGAGGGUGCGGGAAGCCACCAGCAAUCAGAUGAAAGAUCUCUAACUACAAGCCCAACGGACACGGAUACAUCUAAAAACGGGAGCUUCCCGGCAGAGAUAAUUUUGACAAUCUGUACAUAGAUCGCCGCGUGUUUUGUUAGCUGCACGGAAGUCUGUUUAAGUUUAAUUUCGAGUUUUUAAUUUUAACACGCAUUUAUUGUGGCUGUUCUUUUAAUCAGAAGAGACCUUCGGGAAGUUCCGGCUUGUAAAAGACGGCACGAAAGAAAUCUCACGGCUCGAAAAUGCCGUCGCCGAC